rnacentral:snRNA from 1 species
AGCUUGAGUUUCUCUUCAUUAUCGCAUAAAUCUUUCGCCUUUUACUAAAGAUUUCUGUGGAGGAGUACUUUUUCCGAGUAAUCUGUAUUUUUGGAGGCUCUGAUCACAGCAGAGCU